UUCCUGCAGCAAGGACCUUCGUUCGCUUAAUUCUGCCCCAAGUGGCAUUGUGAAUGGCAUUCCAAAUAGUUGUGGAAAUUUUCUGAAAGUGACUUUGCUCUUGCCAUAAGAACAAUUCCUAAUAAUAAUGUGUAAUGCAGGCAAGAGCCAAAGCAAAAACAACUACCGCCACAACAAUUAUAUCCUACUGCAACAACAAGUAUUGCGGCGGAAGCAGCAGCCGUAGUCGGUUUAUCAACGGUUUAGACAUCUUUUUUGUUUUGUUACUGUUGGCAGUUAACCCAAAAUUUCAUUUGAAUAUUGAGCCAACAUAGAAGAGUGAAAAAAUACCGCAAAUUAGGGAAUGCCUAAAUUUUUUUAUUUUAGUUUUUUUUUUUUUACAAAUUUAAAGGCAGUAGCGGGAGCUCCCAACAAGUGCAAGUGACAUAGUCAAGUUUACAAUUCGUGUACGCGUGUGUGUGAGUGUUUUGUCUUAUGUCGAUACAAAUGUAACUGAGCUAGCUGUCCGGCUAAAAUUAGAUUGCGUGCUCUAGAUACCGGUGUGAUUGAUAAUCAGUGACAAAGUGAACUCACUUGAAAUAAGAAUCUAACAAAUAGAAACAGAAGCAGUAUUUUAAUAUAACAAGACCCACACAAAAAUCAAAAAAAUAAAGAUAAAACGUGAACGUGGAAUGAAGUGAUAUGAAGAGAAUAGAAUUUUCCGGAUAUCAACUAACUUUUAUCGUUUCGUAAAAUAAAAUUGUCACUGUAACUGCUGCAGCUAUCACAGGUAAUAGUUACUUUGACAUGCAAUUAGUGGUUACGGCAUUAAGGCAUUUACCCCAACCGUAGUAAGCCUGCCGACCACGACAAACAACUAAAUCCUAGGCCCAUCUACUGUAUCAUAGAGAUUCAGCCCAUGUAUAUUGGAUAUUGGCAAACAAGCCUAAAGGAAAAAUAGAGGAAAG